CGCGGGGUGGAGCAGCUUGGUAGCUCGUCGGGCUCAUAACCCGAAGGUCGUCGGUUCAAAUCCGGCUCCCGCAACCA
rnacentral:tRNA from 28 species